rnacentral:lncRNA from 1 species
CCUUACCCAUACAAGUCACCACCACCACCACCUCUCCACCACCACAAACCACCAACACUACCACCUCCUCCUGUUUACCACUACAAAUCACCACCUCCCCCUCCCCAUGUCUACAAGUAUAAAUCUCCACCACCACCUCCUUACCACCCCAUAUCACCAGCUCCUCCUCAUCAUCAUGCCUACAAGUAUAAAUCUCCACCACCACCUCCUUACCACCCUGCUCCUAUCUACAAGUACAAGUCACCACCUCCCCUCAUCAUGCUUACAAAUAUAAAUCUCCACCACCCCCUCUUCACCACCCUGCUCCUGUCUACAAGUACAAGUCACCACCUCCUCCUCACCAUGUCUACAAGUACAAAUCUCCACCACCCCCUCGCCAUUACAAGGCACCUUGUCCUCCUUCCCCUGUCUACAAAUAUAAAUCACCACCACCCCCUCCCUACCAUCACAUAUCACCAACCCUACCUCCCUACCACGACAAGUCACCACCACCACCCCCUCCUGUUUACAAGUAUAAAUCACCACCGCCACCUCCCUAUCACUACAAGUCACCACCACCUCCCCCUCCAGUCUACAAGUAUAAGUCUCCUCCACCACCUCCACAUGUUUAUCACUACACUUCACCUCCUCCUCCUCCCUAUCACUAUUAAGCGGCAGAACACCGUCGAAACCAA